rnacentral:rRNA from 1 species
UACGUAGGGUGCAAGCGUUAAUCGGAAUUACUGGGCGUAAAGCGUGCGCAGGCGGUUCUAUAAGACAGAUGUGAAAUCCCCGGGCUCAACCCGGGAACUGCGUCCGAUACUGGCUGGCUUGAAUCCGGGAGAGGGAUGCGGAAUUCCAGGUGUAGCGGUGAAAUGCGUAGAUAUCUGGAGGAACACCGGUGGCGAAGGCGGCAUCCUGGACCGGCAUUGACGCUGAGGCGCGAAAGCCAGGGGAGCAAACGGG